ensembl:snRNA U6 U6 spliceosomal RNA
GUGCUUGCUACGGCUGCACAUAUACUAAAAUUGGAUCGAUAUUGGGAAGAUUAGCAUGGCCCCUGUGAAAGGAUGACACGCAAAUCUGUGAAGCGCUCCAUAUUUUU